AAAGGACUAGACUAGAUCACGAGUUGUGCUAGAUGAGAAACUAAUGAAGCAUUCUCUGAAUCAUGAAACUUCCAACGGCCCCGAACACUUGAAUAUGCUCCAAUUCUGAUUAACAGUCAGCUCAAGAAAGAACUUUGCUCUGCUUUGAUUUUCCCUUUUAAGGAGAGAUUUUUAUUAUUCAUACCCAGCCAACUAGGAGGGAGAA
rnacentral:lncRNA from 1 species